rnacentral:rRNA from 1 species
GUCGAGAAUAAUUCACAAUGGACGAAAGUCUGAUGGUGCAACGCCGCGUGGAGGAUGACGGUCUUCGGAUUGUAAACUCCUGUCAUCCGGGAGUAAGACCUGGCUGUGAAUAGCAGACAGGGUUGAUAGUACCGGAAGAGGAAGGGACGGCUAACUUCGUGCCAGCAGCCGCGGUAAUACGAAGGUCCCGAGCGUUGUUCGGAAUCACUGGGCGUAAAGGGAGCGUAGGCGGCGUGGUAAGUCAGAUGUGAAAUCCCGGGGCUCAACCCCGGAACUGCAUCGGAUACUGCCGUGCUAGAGGAUUGGAGAGGUAGCUGGAAUUCUUGGUGUAGCAGUGAAAUGCGUGGAGAUCAAGAGGAACACUCGUGGCGAAAGCGAGCUACUGGACAAUAUCUGACGCUGAGGCUCGAAGGCCAGGGUAGCGAAAGGGAUUAGAAACCCCGGUAGUCC